CUCCCAUUCCACGUGCUGGGGGGCAUCUGAAGUAUGCAGAUAGUUAUCUGUGAUGGUUCUGGAAUUAAUUCUAUUAUAACCAAUGAGUAUCUUUACUCCUGAUGGUAGCAAAGAGACGAUGAAAACCAGAGCAGGGGUUCUAUAGAGUUAGGUGUUUGGGACGAUUAAGGAAAACAACCCUACCCUUUGGGCUCAUUCAUCAUAGCCCAGGAACAUAGUCCAGGAACAAAUUCCUUUCUUCUUGCAGGUGCAGCUAAAGUCUGUCUGAUCGGUCCAGAUGAAAGCGGAUUUUUAGUCUUGAAUUCAUAGGGUCAUAGCUGCUUAUCACAUCAGAUUUGGUUUCAGAAAUCAGAACACUGACAGGAGCUUCUGUAAUCAGUGUCCAGGCACAGAAAUUGCAGGGUUCUCAGCUCUAGGGCACUGGGAGCCAGAGGUAGAAGGGAUGUUGGCUAUUCAUGUUCUGCACUAAGAGGCCAUAUUCAUGUCUCCUCUUCCCAGACCAGAGUGGCAGGAACCAGCUUCCACAGAGUCCUGCUGGACAGCCAAACAAAUCCCCCGCCAUUCUCCUUCAACAACUUCUAAAUACAAGUCCAAUUUUUAUUGGACCUGUAUCCAUAAUCAAAUGAUUAACACAGAAUAAGGGAGACAAAGAGAAGGAAAUACUUUUCAUCUACAAAGUGUAUUUGAACAUUUCAUGUUACUUACCUGUGCAUUCAGGGUUUCUUCUGGAUGGUGUGACCGAUGACAGGUGUGACUUCUUAGGAUCUUAGAUUCAGAGGGAGACUUGGAGAUCAAUCUUCUGUCUCCUCAACCGGAUUCUGCCAAAAGGACAAUGUUAGAUUAAAAUACUUCUCAAAAUCUUUAAAUUAUAAGUUUUGCCCAUGGACAUCAAACUAAAACGUGGAAGCAAUUAUCCAGAUUUUAAGGCAAUGCUGUAGGAAGACUUGAAGAAUGCAGCACAUGAGCUAGGACCUGCAGAAUAGGGUGCUGAUAAUGGUACAAGAUCACUGUGCAAGUUAAAAGUGGCUGGCAUGGACAGUGACCAGCAUAUAAUGGAUACUCACUAAAGACAUAUGGUAAGACUGAAUUUUCCUACUUCCUGGAAGUUAGGAGAGCCCAAGGACGUGCUUCGGCCAACGAAACAUGAGUGGAAAUGAUGUGUGUUGCUUCCAGGUGGAAGUCUUUAAGAACCAGGGAAUAACUCACUAUGUUCCCUUCCCUUGAUGAUGUGACUGGUGAUGUUCCAGAUGGUGGAGGCUCUAAGAGACUGUGCCACCCACAUGGACGAGAACCCCCAGCCACACCAAGUAGGACAUGUGGCACAAGGGAAAGCAGCAGAAAUCCCAACUCAAGGUGACUUAAACCACAAGGAAAUUACUUUCUCAAAUAACAGGUGGGCCAGAAGCUGGGUGUUCUGCAGGAAGGUCCUGCAGCUCCUCAAGGACAAGAUCCUUUCCCUCUGCUUUGUAUAGCGCCAGCCUCAAACCAAAGCUGGGUCCCUUCAAAGUCAUGAGGUAGCUGGUGCACCAGUCGGGAAAGACAGCUGGUUCCUUCUCCUACAUGAAGUAGAGAGCGACUGUAAUGCUGGAAAUAUCCACAUGAUUGUCCAGACGUCGCUGAUAAAAAUUGCCUGUGAUGCUUGUUAAAAAUCCAGAUUUCCAGACCUUUGCCCUGGAAUUCCCACUCCAGUAGGGCUGCUUGCACCCAGGAAUCAGCGCUUUCAACAAGCCCUCCUGUGACUUGUGUCAUCAGGGCAGUUUGGGAAACCUCUGUACACGAGUGUUGGUGGAGUUUGCCCAGCAUGAUGUCAAUAGUUCUUACCAUAUAUUACAGAGGUUGCCGCAUUCUGAUAUCGAAAAUGAUGCCCAUCUGAGACCCCCCCACCCCCCGCUCCUGAGUACCAGCUGGAACGCUCAAAGAAUCUCCACAGCAAAUGAUCUGUUGAUGUACUUCCCAAACGGACUGGGUCAGGAGCCUGUUCUAACUAUCCCCACCGCCCACCCACACACCCAAGGAACACUCGAGGAGCUGGUCUUCCACUAAGACUCUUUGGGAAAUAAAGAACAUGCACCAAAAUCGAUGCUCGCAGACAGAAUGCAUCUGAGCUGUCUUGGUGUGGGGAGGUCAGCCAAAGCCCCUCACUCUUCCUCCCCUGUAGGUCCUUGUUUCCUCUGGAUCCAGUAGCCCAGUCAGGCAGGCCCCUGUCUUUGCUUUACCUUCUUGUUCAUCCUUGUCAACGCUCUACCCCUCCCCACUAAAAUGCAGUCCUUAACAAGCCCGUCUGCUCACGUGAAACCAGGCUGCUUCAAUUCCAAGUGACACCUCCACUGGAAAGGGCUGGCAGAGGCAGCCUCACCUCUCCUUGGUGUAUGUGUAGAAGAACCAUGAGCUGGGGAGUGAGCCCACUGUGAUCUUGCAGGGCAGUGGAGGAGGAGGAAGAUUGACUUUCAAGGAAAGCUCUUUUGGCUUCUGAGCUCUCGUUUACCUGGCUUUGUCCCUCUUUCCCUGGCCAGUCCUGCUGGAUGCUGACUGUGGCCCCCCCUAAGAUCAGGCCAGCCCUGAGAUAUCAUUCGCUAAAGGGACAUGGCCCAGGCAGGAAUCGAUGGCUGCUAUUGAACAAAUGGGCCUAGCACAGCUCCUGGCUAAUAGUAGGUGCUCCAGCCCCAUAAAACCACAUGGUUGUUUGGUCUCCAAGGAGCAUGGCCUGCACAAACACAAUUAAUGAGUCAAAAGUAAUAAAAAGGAAUGGAGUUGCUUUCUUCCUGUAUUUUGAAAACAAGAAAGAAGAUACUGGUCCUUUCAAGCCUUAUUGCAAUCCCAUUUCUUGUCUUCUACCUUCCCCAGACCCUGCAACUAUACUGGAACCACCCUAGCCCACGAUAUACGCACACACAC